CUUGACUAAACCAGGUUUAGGGACUGAUUACAUGAGCUCUUAUGCUGGAGGAUUGGAGGGAGCAGACAACUUCAAAGAGGGAAGGAUGACAACCUGGGACAACCCAGGAUGUUUCUGGCAGCAAUGUCAGAUGGCAGAAUGGCAGCAGGUCCAUCAGGACAGGGUAGAGAGUCUCACCUAGAGAUGUCCCCACAGACCUGUCAGAGCUAAGAAGAUCUGGGAUCCUCCAUGCUUU